GGGAUUAACCUAGACGCGAUUCACCCAUCUCCUCCCAAUUCCCAGCAGCCGCCGCCGCCACCGCCACCACAUCCUCUCUCCUCCCCUGACGUCUCCUCUUUCCCCUCCUCUCCUCGCAACGGCCUCCUCCUUCCUGCACCGCCUCUUCCUCUCUUCCUUGCUGAUGGCGCCUCCCGCCGGUGGAUGCCUCCUGUCUUGCCCUUUUCGUGGGGAGGUGGAGAUGGGAAGAUGGCGUUGGAGGAGGAAAACAAGAUCCAGGCAGUGGAAAGAUGGCGUUGGAGGAGGGAGCACGGGUGGCCGCCGCAGCUGAAGCACGGGUGGCCUGGUUGUGGCGGAGCAUGGCGGGAGUCCGGGCGGCGUCGUGGUGGUGGUCAAGAGGAGAAGCACGGGUGGCCGCCGCAGCUGAGCUUCUAUGUAACAUAGUUCCGAUGAAUCCUCUGCCGCAUCUGGCCUCUACAGAUUCGUUUUCGUAUCUACCUAUAAGGCGUUCGAUGAAAAUCCAAGCUGCUGCAGUGGCAGAUUACGCCGUCCGCUUGCAUGCUGAGCCAUGUUGGGCUCUCCUGUUCUUUUUUGUUGGCUUGACGUACGCACUGGCAACCUCCUGCGUGAAGGAUUCAGCAUGCCUCUAUUUGAGAGAAAAGAUAUGAAGAAGCGGAUUUUCAGAGUAUCUCAGGCACACAAGCUAAAGGUUCACCAAGUUCAGGGAAAGAAAAGUUUCCCUAGACACGUGGCGGCGGCGGUCAAGACAAGAGCGGCGCUGUGAGCGACGGCCCUCGAUCGUCUUCCUUGUGGAAUCAGGUACGCAUCGUCCAUCGUGGCCCAUCGUGGGUGUUGCCAGGCGACCGGAGGCGGCUACAGCAGGCCAGUGCCCGUGAUCAAGACAGACACCGGGAAGGCUGUCGGUAUGUAGUAUGAUCCUCAUCUCCUCCAACUUACGUUUUGGUAGCACGUCUCCAUCGUUGUCUACAGUUGUGCACUCGAUUCAAAUGAUUAUUCUCCGUUCUUUGCCUCAGAACUACAUAUGAGAGGUACAAAGGGUUGGCCAAGAUACUCAAUGAAGCUAUUCGAUUUAAGUAGUAAGGGUACCGGCGCCCAAAUAAAUUCAGGAGCACUGCAAAAUUCAAGUUGAUGGCUGGUGUGCCUUGUUGUUUUACAGCAUGAUAGUUGUUGAAAGUAUGUUCUAGAAUGCAGUGCCAUCGAUAGGUUCUGCUGGUUUCUACCUCCAUGCUGCUUAAACCAAUUACCUCCUCAAUUCUACGCCAUGGGCAGAUGAUUGUGUGCAAGGAAGGAAAGAUGCAAACGAUUUGGGUUCCCAGUUUGUACAGCCCCUGAGGAUUGGAAGGUCGUGAUGUUGUCUACUUGUCUCUUUCAUUCCGUUACAACCUGCUGUUCUUGCUCAGUUGUGUCCAUCAAGGAUAUGUUCUUUGAAUUUAGAUGAUGCACGGAUAAAUAACUCUUAUGUGACAAUGCAAAUGAAGGGUGCAGUGGCUCAGCCCUUUAGAUUGUUGGCGAGAAUAUUGGAGUAUAAAUAAAUACAAGUUGUUAACAACAACAUAAAUUUUUGGCUCUCUAUAUCCUCAUGAACGAGGGUUUGUAUAAUUUUGGGCAUUCCUUUGCCUGUAGCAAUAGCUAUUGUAUUUAGUGGCAAUCGUUAUAAAAUGGGAGCAUAAAUAAAUAACAAUGGAAUUUUAUUAGCUCUCUAUGUCCUUACGAAUGAGGGAUUGCAUGAAUUUGCGAUUUCUUUUUCCUGUAGCGAAUAGCUGUUGUAUUUAGACACAAUCGAUAUAAAAAGAACAUUCAAUUUUAUUCAUUGCACUCAACCCCUUCUGCAAUCUUUAGAAGCAAAAAUGCAGCCUGUAGCUAAACGGGGGAAAUUGGAUAAAGAGGCAGGGCCGCAGGAGCAGAACGGUCCAGCCGAUGAAACCAAUGUGGACGAAGAUUAACUUCUCUGAUCUUGUGGUAGGCUGAACCCGAAUCAAAUUAAUGGGUGGACUUUCUUGCUAUCCUUUGUCCUGAAACUAUAACAUAAUCACUUAAGCUGACAUUUUGGUAGUUGUCUGAACCAUGAAUCCAUGAUGCUAAGCUGAAUAAUUCCUGGAGCAUCUGUCGCGCGUGGUGCUUCUACGUUGCACCAUUGUCUGGUGUUUGCGCUUCUACAAUUUUUUUUACCAUACACAUCUGCUCCAGUAAUGAAUAUGAGCCUCUUGUACUAAGAUUUUUUUUCCACCAUACUCAUAUAUUUCUACCUGGAUUGUGUGCAAAAACUCAAUUUCUAUCAAGAAAAUCAUUGACAUUUGGAGAGCUAAAAAUAGUUCAGGCCCUCGAGGUGCAUUCCCUGGGAUUGUUGUUGUGCAGGUGUAGCAGCCAGUGGUUCUUUGCAUCAUUCUUCAAAAAGAAUGUGUGUGGCACGAACCGUGUAAAUAAUAAUUGUAGAAUGAAGACACCACUACUUAAACGAUGAAACCAUGUUUAAUACUGAUGGGACAUGAACCUAAUACCACUGCCUUCAUGUCUUGAUAUUUCUUGCUGGUAGAAGAUACAAGACUCAGCCAAAGGUUAAUAGGCGAGCUAUAUCAAUGAUGCAUAUCUGCUACUAUAACAUGCUUUAUAAAGCCAAUGUAAGCUAUCAUCAAGUGAUCUUAUAACUUUCUUUCCUUUGAGCUAUAAUGCCGCCAUGUAAAAAAAUAUGUAACGCUAUGUGUACCUAAGUAUCUAUUAAAUUGGUUCCAAAUUACUCUCA